rnacentral:rRNA from 1 species
GGGGGAUAACGUUUGGAAACGAACGCUAAUACCGCAUGAUAUUAUUGGGCAGCAUUGCCUGAUAAUCAAAGGAGCAAUCCGCUGAAAGAUGGGCUCGCGUCCGAUUAGGUAGUUGGCGGGGUAACGGCCCACCAAGCCGACGAUCGGUAGCCGGACUGAGAGGUUGAACGGCCACAUUGGGACUGAGACACGGCCCAGACUCCUACGGGAGGCAGCAGUGAGGGAUAUUGGUCAAUGGGGGAAACCCUGAACCAGCAACGCCGCGUGAGGGAAGACGGUUUUCGGAUUGUAAACCUCUGUCCUCUGUGAAGAUGAUGACGGUAGCAGAGGAGGAAGCUCCGGCUAACUACGUGCCAGCAGCCGCGGUAAUACGUAGGGAGCAAGCGUUGUCCGGAUUUACUGGGUGUAAAGGGUGCGUAGGCGGCUUUGCAAGUCAGAAGUGAAAUCUAUGGGCUUAACCCAUAAACUGCUUUUGAAACUGCAGGGCUUGAGUGAAGUAGAGGUAGACGGAAUUCCCGGUGUAGCGGUGAAAUGCGUAGAGAUCGGGAGGAACACCAGUGGCGAAGGCGGCCUACUGGGCUUUAACUGACGCUGAGGCACGAAAGCGUGGGUAGCAAACAGGAUUAGAUACCCUGGUAGUCCACGCUGUAAACGAUGAUUACUAGGUGUGGGUGGACUGACCCCAUCCGUGCCGGAGUUAACA